CACUGCUCCCUCCGCUGAUGCCGCCGGGAAACAGGAGAUUAUGUCAAUCAUUUCCUGUCUCCCGGCGGCAUCAGCGGAGGGAGCAGUGCUAGA